rnacentral:rRNA from 1 species
CAGCAGCCGCGGGAAUACGUAGGGUGCGAGCGUUAAUCGGAAUUACUGGGCGUAAAGCGUGCGCAGGCGGUUCGUUAAGACAGAUGUGAAAUCCCCGGGCUUAACCUGGGAACUGCAUUUGUGACUGACGGGCUAGAGUAUGGCAGAGGGGGGUAGAAUUCCACGUGUAGCAGUGAAAUGCGUAGAGAUGUGGAGGAAUACCGAUGGCGAAGGCAGCCCCCUGGGCCAAUACUGACGCUCAUGCACGAAAGCGUGGGGAGCAAACAGGAUUAGAUACCCCGGUAGUCCCUGUCUCUUAUAC